AACAAAAGGCAAGCCCAAAUAUGCCAAGAGAGCAAAACCCAAACUGAGUAGAUAUUUUGUGCUCAUAUUAUUCCAGAAAAAAAUUAAGAAAAACGAAAAUUGGAAAAAAAAAAAAAAAUUGAUGGUUUCCUGAGAAACAAAAAAAAACACACAAAAAUAUGUAAAACUGAAAAUCGACAACAAGCUCGGUGUCUCGCCGAUCGAAUCCCAAUUCGAUUCCGUUCUACAUGACUUCCUAUUCAAGGAUUAUAAUCGGUUCCGAAGAACAUGUUCAAAGCUGAAUCAAUAGCCACUUGUGGUUUGACAGAGAAAGAACUUCGGGAAUAAUAUGAAAGCUUGUUGAAGGGUUUGGCAAUGAUAAAGACAAUAUACUAUCAAAACCCGUGAAGUUUGCAGCUGGGUAUCAGCGUAUAGGUGUGGAGGACAUGCACAAAAGGAAAAAUUCAGAAAAAAGCUCCUGAGAUUAUAGAUCAAUGUAUGUUGAUGGACCACAUCAAAUGCUUUGAAACUGUGGCCGUUGGAGUGAAAGACAUUGUACCAUAUUCAGUCGCCUUCAGUUGUGGAUCUAGAAUAUCCAGAGGUAGUGUAUAUACAGAGAAAGCAAAGGAUGCGGCCAUUGGUGUUGGUAAGGUUUUUGACCUUAAGCUAGAGAUCAGAAUUGUAUUGGUUUUUUCUGUGUUUAGAGGUAGGAGAAAUGAGCGAUUAUAUAUAGAAUUUUGAUAGGUUAGUAGGGUUAUGGGUUAGAGAAUAAAAAUAAUCUUGAUUAGCAAGGUUUGAAUAUCUUUGAAAAUCUUUAAAUCGUCAUAUACUCUUAACCAAUUUAGGAUAAUAUCGUUAAAAUCGUUUAUAUAUGAGAUAUUUCCAAAUAUGUAAGGUUGAUUGAUUCCAGAAUUUAUAUAGCUCAUUUAUUUAGGAAAGAAAAAUGUUUUGCACUUAAUUCAUUAGCACCUAUUUAGGAAACGAUUUGGAUCAAUUUGUUAUAACUAUAUAUUCUCCA